rnacentral:rRNA from 1 species
UCUGCUCAAAUGAUUUUUUAAAUUGCUGUGGUAUUUUGACUAUACAAAGGUAUUGUAAUAAGAUUUUAAUUGAGUGCUAAGAGAAUGGAUUUACAAAAAAAAUCUUUUUUAAAUUUAAAAAUUUAAGUUAUUUUUAUUUGUGAAGAAACAAUAAUAAAAAUUAAAGACAAGAAGACCCUAUGAAUUUUUAUAACCUUUUAUAAAAAAUUUUUUAUAAAAGGUUAUUUAAUUGGGGCGAUUUAAAAAAAUAAUAAACUUUUUUUAUUUUAAAUAUGAUCCAUUAAUAAUGAUUUUAUGAAAAAAAUACUCUAGGGAUAACAGCGUAAUAAUUUUAGAUAGAUCUUAUAGAAAAAAUAGUUUGCGACCUCGAUGUUGGAUUAGGAUACUUUUUUAAUGAAGAAGUUAAAAUAAGAAGUUCGUUCAACUUUUAAAAUCCUACUUGAUCUGAGUUUCAGACCGGA